rnacentral:misc_RNA from 1 species
GGGACAGCUAACAAAAAUACUAUUCUUUUCAUUUCUUUAGGUAAUACAGAGAAAAGAAUCCUCGGAAAAAAAAUACAGAGAAAAGAAUCCAUCUCCUUCUCUCUUAUUCCCUUUCUCUCUUUCUAUUAUCUCUCUAUAUAAUGUUCUAAGAGUCGAGUAGAAGCACUAACAGAAGCAACAGCCUCCUUAAUUUCCUUUCUCUUCAGCCCAUUUUUGUGGCUUACUUGAUCAGCAAUGGAAUGUGAUAAAGGUUUUUCGAGCAGUUACAUGAUCUUAAAGCCUGAAGAAGUAAAAUUCUUGGAUCUCAUUCACAUCUUAUUUUCCAGUGACAUAGAGAAAAGAAAAUUCGUUGACAGUGCUAAAGCCAAGGAGGAGAAUAGUUUGGAGCAUCGAUGGCUCAUAUUUAUCUCCAUUGUGGUUCAGAAGAUGCUGCAAUUCUCUUCCAAGCCAUUGUCAUUUCUUGGUUCGCUAGUGGAGAUGUGGCUCAACCUUUUGUCAAGCAAUGGAAACUUUUUCAGGCUCCUUUACAACGUCUUAAGAGGGAAGGUGGUGAUUCCUGAUAAAACAUCAGCAACUUUCAUUUCGUUUAUUGGAAAUUUCGACAAGCGACUUGAGUUGGACAAAAACAUCAAACGUGGAGAUGCAAGAUACCAUGCAGCUCUCUCUAUGAUGGCUUCUAAAGCUUCUUAUGAGAACGAGGCCUACCUUCGAACCAUAGUCAAUGAGCACUGGAAGAUGGAGUUCUUGGGAUUUUAUGACUACUGGAAUGAUUACCAAGAAAAACCCACAACCCAAGUCUUUCUAUUUCGUGAUAAAACAAAUGAGCAAGACACAGUUGUUGUAGCCUUUAGGGGCACCGAACCAUUCGAUGCAGAUGCUUGGUGUUCUGACUUCGAUAUCUCCUGGUAUGAACUUAAAGACAUAGGAAGGAUCCAUGGUGGUUUCAUGAAAGCCUUAGGGUUACAGAAGAGCAUCGGUUGGCCUAAGGAAUGCAUUGAAAACAAUGGUACUACUCGUAAGACUCCCUUGGCCUACUAUGCCAUUAGAGAAAUCUUGAGAGAAAUAUUAUCCAAAAAUGAUGGAGCAAAGUAUAUAUUAACUGGUCAUAGUUUAGGUGGGGCACUAGCAAUUCUCUUUCCAGCAGUUUUGGCAUAUCAUGGUGAGAAGAUGUUGCUGGAGAGAUUGGAAGGUGUUUAUACAUUUGGGCAGCCUAGGGUUGGAGAUGAAAGAUUUGGACUACACAUGGAAAGUAAUUUAAAAGAGAAUCGUAUUCCUUAUUACAGGUUUGUUUACAGUAAUGACAUGGUUCCCAGGUUGCCCUAUGAUGAUUCUGCACUUAUGUUCAAGCAUUUUGGGACCUGCAUCUACUAUGACAGGCACUAUCAAGCACAGGUUGUUGCAGAAGAACCAAACAAGAAUUACUUCUCGCCAUUGAGGGCAAUACCCAUGAUGAUAAACGCAUUUAUGGAGCUAAUAAGAAGCUUCACAAUUUUAUACACAAAGGGACCAGAGUAUAGAGAAGGGUGGUUCAUGCGACUGUUUAGGUUAAUUGGCUUGGCAAUCCCUGGCGUACCACCACAUUGUCCUCAAGAUUAUGUUAAUGCUACUCGUUUGGGACCUGUAGAAGUAUUUCAUCCACCUCAUGAGCAACCACAAAAUGAUUUUGCUUAGCCUGAUUUAGUUCAGUGGCUCAAGGUAUAUCAUUCACAUAGCAGAUUUAAGCCCUCACUUCUCUAAUCCCCUACUAAAAUAAGAAAACUAUAAAAUGCUUUUGCAUGCAAUUUGCAACCUAAAAUCAGAAAGUUCAGAAUUCUGUUAAUUACAUUUUACUUCCACUCCAAGUAAGCCAAAUGCAUAUCAUCUUUCUUUCCUACACUAAAAUAUGUGGCCUCAUUUAUGCACUUAAUCAUUCGAUAGAAGAUUAACGUAUCAGAAAAUUGAUAAAAUCUACUAAGAUUUUAAUUUGGUAGAAU